rnacentral:rRNA from 1 species
UAGGGAAUCUUCCGCAAUGGGCGAAAGCCUGACGGAGCAACGCCGCGUGAGUGAUGAAGGUCUUCGGAUCGUAAAACUCUGAUAUUAGGGAAGAAUAAAUGUGUAAGUAACUAUGCACGUCUUGACGGUACCUAAUCAGAAAGCCACGGCUAACUACGUGCCAGCAGCCGCGGUAAUACGUAGGUGGCAAGCGUUAUCCGGAAUUAUUGGGCGUAAAGCGCGCGCAGGCGGUCAAUUAAGUCUGAUGUGAAAGCCCCCGGCUCAACCGGGGAGGGUCAUUGGAAACUGGUUGACUUGAGUGCAGAAGAGGAGAGUGGAAUUCCAUGUGUAGCGGUGAAAUGCGUAGAUAUACGGAGGAACACCAGUGGCGAAGGCGACUCUCUGGUCUGUAACUGACGCUGAGGCUCGAAAGCGUGGGUAGCAAACAGG